UGCCGAUGAUGAAAGUUAUGGUAUUGUGUAUUGUAUGAUAUUUCAUGAUUACUAUACCAACUACUGCCUUCCUUCUGAGGCC